rnacentral:lncRNA from 1 species
GUCAUUAGUUUCUGUUACUACUUCACUCUCCCUCUGUCUUCAAGAAAUGGAUCGUAGAAGUGCAUUUGCCGUUGCUUUGAUUUGCUUUGUGGUGACCGCUGUCGGUGGUCAAUCUCCGGCAGCCUCACCUACUAAAGCUCCGCCGGCAGCGACUACUCCUGCCACUGCUCCCGCUACUGCCCCUGUUAGCAAACCUAAAUCACCGGCUCCAACUGCUGCCCCUACCACUUCCCCACCAACUUCUUCACCACCGGCUGCGGCUCCGGAGAAGUCUGCGGCGGUUCCAGCCCCAUCUAAAUCUGCUCCGGCUUCUUCUCCUCCGGCUGCUGCUCCGGUGAGUUCUCCACCGGCUCCAGUACCUGUGAGCUCUCCUCCAGCCAAAUCGCCUCCCGUUGCUGCACCGACGACUCCACCAGAGAGCUCGGCCUCUCCUCCGGCUCUUGUUGCGGCACCAACUACUGCUGAGGUUCCGGCCCCAGCUCCAAGCAAGAGCAAGAGCAAAAGCAAGAAAUCCAAGAAACACCAUGCUCCGGCUCCUUCACCUGAUAUGCUUGGACCUCCCGCUCCACCAACUGGAGCUCCUGGACCUAGCCUCGAUGCUUCCUCUCCCGGUCCAUCUGUCGCUGCCGAUGAGGUACAUUCUCUUCUCUUUACUAACGCUUCAGUAGCUUACAUCAUAUAACAAUGCGCUUUCAGAUCUGAACUUUUACACUGCAUAAAUGUAGAGAGAUCUUGUUUUUCUUUUAAUCGCGUCUAAAGGAUGCACCGUUGAGCUAGUUCAUUUACUUUUCUGAAAAAGGACCGACCAAUGGAUCUUUUUUUCAUCUUAAAACUAUAUUUAUUUGUAACAUUUAAAGAGUUAUUAUUAACAAAUGCAGAGUGGAGCAGCGGCAAUGAAGAACAUGAAGAAGAUAAUUGGAGGGUUGGCGUUGGGAUGGGCAGCCAUUGCUUUGAGCUUCUAGAUUGGUUUUGAUCACAUUCCACAUUCUGCGUUCUAAUUCUUUGGUUGGUGUACUGAGAGGCGGAAACUCUAGUUUUUUUUUCCUAUGUAAUUUCCACCAUUCUUUUUUUUUCCCCUUCAUUUACCCAUUUUCUGUCUUUUAUUUCUCUAUUAUAUUUUAAUAAAAUCACAAUUUAUUUUACUAAUACCAAUGCUAAUGAAUCUCAAGAUCAUUUGUGCAGGUUAAACAUUGUAAAAGUAACAAAACUGAAACGAUCAUAUAGCUCAUGAACCAUUACAGGGAAAUUGGUUAGACAAUGUUCCAAUGAAAGUACAGGAAAGCUUAAAAUGGCAGCAAAUGCAUAUCUUACAAAUCAAUCUGAAUAUUUAGUUUAAUCUGAAAGAACAGUUUUGAGUAAAAAGUAAUUAGGCAUGGGGGCAUAAACCAGGAGAGACGUUAUUCAUUGGUUCCUAUCGUCUUCUCCCCCGGCUGCAAACACCAGACAGACUUACAUGUAUGAAACUUCUUACAUUCACAAUUGCCACGUAUCAGAAGAAGCACUUCACAAGAGGACUCUACAAAUUAAAAAUUCUCUUUUUCUCUACAACAAAACCCUGUAAAAUGUAAGCCCAAGCAGCAAACCUUCAAAAUGCAUUAUUUGAAGCAUCAAAUGUAUACAAACUGUAUUAGACCCAAUGCCUACUUUCAAGCGUGAUUCGUCCUUAAUUCUAAAGCUUUUAAUUUUAUUGGUUAAUAUUGGUGUUUUUGUCGUUUUCCCAUCAACCCAAAGCCAAAAGCAUGCAAAUUCCCUUCACUUGGAAUAUGGAGAUGGUAAAGUAGAAAAGUAUUCAUAAUACGCUAUGAUAUAUAUAUGCGUGUGUGCGUGUAAAUGGCCACUAUGAAGCGUGUGUGCGUGUAAAUGGCCACUAUGAAGCUUUCUUAUUUGCUCGAAAAAGAAGGCAAAUAUUAAUUAAUAAUAUAUAAUAUUUGGCAUUCAUUAAUAAGACUCAGUGAAAUAAAUAAUUAAGAUAAUAUAAUUAAUUUAAUAUAUACCAGGUUGAUUUAUCCAUUUAUGCUGAAAAAAAAAUCUACAUUUAAUUAUCUAUGUUUUUUUUUUAAUUUAUCAAUGUUGUUUUGAAGAGAGAAAGGAAAGCACGUCUUACAUGGUGCAUUUUCACUGUCUAUGUCAUUGAAAAUGCGUCUUAUAGGGCGUAUUUUUAGCUACGUCAGCUGAACAUGUGUCAUGUUUUCACAAAUUGACAAUUUAGCUCUUUUGAUCAGAUGGUUAAGCGUUAGUGUUUUUAGUCUUUAAGUCUUAGGUUCAAUUCCUCUCCUAUUCAUUUUUAUAAUUUUUAUUUCAUGUUAUUUUAAGUUUUUUUUAAUUAAUAUUUUUGACACAUUAGCUCUUUUGGUUAGAUGAUUAGAUAAUUGUGAUUUCUUCUUUCAGUCCUAAGUUUGAUUCCUUUUAUAAGAAUUUUAAUAUGUAUUUUUUAUUUCAAUUUUUUUAUUAUUUUUAAUUAAUAUUUUUAAUUAAUAAAUAUAUUGUUUUCAAGUUUUUUUAUUUUUUAUUUAUCUUUUUAAUUAAUAACUCUUUUAUUUAUAAAAUCAAAUAAUUAUUGAAAAUAUCAUUAUUUUUAGUAAAUAUAAUUUUUAUUUGUGUAAUUUUUAUCUUUCAAUCCAUAUCAUGAAUGUAGUAAAUUGACAUAUUAUAUAUUUUUGUAUAAUGUAUGAUGAUGAUGAAUAGAUAUAAAUUUAUUAUAUAUGACAAUCCAAUAAUAUAUUCUACGAUUCAUACAAUAUAUGAUGAUGAUGUAUAGAUAAUGAUUGUGGAAGGGUCGAGCUUUAUAGCAUUGAAGAAGAAUAUAGAUCGGCGAUAUUUUAAAACCGAAAAAUCUAUAUUGUGAUGCUGUGCAAAAUAAUAGGAGUGAGCAAAAUUCAUUUGAUCCAAAAAAAUUAAAUUUUGAGUUAAUUGAAUCGAGUUAUUUGAAUUAUUCAAGUCAACUCGAGUAAGUAAUUCGAGUUUCGAGUUCGAAUCGAGUUGAAUUUUACAAUUAAAAUAACUCGAAUAAUUCGAAUAACAUAUUGGUAUAAAUACCUUUUUGGUCUCUGCCAAGUUUGAAAAUGAACAAAUUGACCUCUCUCUCAAUAAAAAUUACAAAAUAAUUUUAAAAUUUCAAAAUAUUUAUAAAAAUUCCAAAUUUAUACUUUUUAAAAAUUAUAAAAAUUUCAAAAAAAAAUCUGAAAAAAUAUAAAGAAAGUUAAAAUAUUAAAAUUUUUCUAGAAUAAUAAUUUUGGGACCUAAAUAAGUUAAUUAAUGAUUCAAGUUUAUCAUACUAAAGUAAUUUUUUUAUUCUGCUUUGAAAAAGUUUUCAAAUAUAUAUGGUUUCAAAUGUAAGUGUUAUAACAUGGAAUUAGUUAUAGUAUAACAAGAUUUUAAUUUAACAUGUUUAAUUUUUUAAUUUAACUCGAACAAUUUCAUUCGAAUUGACUCGAAUUUUAUUUUACUCAAUUCAAUUUGAAAAAAAUUUAAAUCGAGUUAGAAUGAUAAAAUAAAACUCGUUAACUCAAUUAACUCAAAAAUUUUUAAUAGAGACAGUGGAAUACUCACUUUUACAUAAUAAUGUACCGAGAGAGGCCAAAGGGUGGAGGUGAAAUAAUUACACAACUCAACUAUUUUGCAAAACUUUUUUUAAAACUCUAAUAUAUAGAUGAUAAAAAAAAGCCUUAGCCACUUGACAAUUUUUAACGAAAAGAGAGAAGGUUAGGGUGUUUAAGUAUAAUACACGUCACGUUACUCCAGACAAGUUUUGCUUGCAGAGACACAGUUUCUUGCCGGUGAGUCGGUGACCCAUCUCAAAAUAUCACCCGUAACUGCUUUACCCGGUCACGCGGCCGCCUCCUAUUGGUUUGUCUCUUUGCGCAGCCAUAGCCCACUCUCCCUACGUCCAGCUGUCUCACUACUUCAUAACAAUUGUAUCAUUCAAUUAGUUAUUGUAGGUUUAAUUUUUUCCAACCCCUUUACUCUUUCAGCUUUUAAAUUUUAAUCUAUCACCUUUUAAUUCCCUAUCUCUCCUGCUUGAUUUAAAAAUUAAAAUUUAAUUAAUAACAUUUCCAUUCAAUUUAAAUAUAUAUUAUUAUUAUUUUUAGAUCAAAGCUUCGAAUAUUAAAAUUUAACCAAGUUUUCAUGAAUUGGACUUUUAAAUAAAAAUGAAGAGAAACUAAAUUUUUAAAAUCAAAAGUAGGAAGGCUAAAUUUUAAAACCCCAAAGAGUAUAGGGGUUGGGGAUAGAAUUAAACAUUUAUUAUAAUAUUAAUUAGUAGGGUAAACUACACCUAAGGUCACUAAAUUAUUAGUAAAUUCAUAUUUUGGUCACUUAACUUUAAAAAAUUACAACAUGGUCACUGAAUUAUUCAAAAGUAUUUAUUUAAGUCAUUGAGUUGUUAAGUAUUUUUUUAUGACGAUUGAUACAAUGGAUUAGUACCUAUGAAGAGUAGAACAUACCUUGUAAGAGAUCGAAAAAGAAAACUGUUUGAAUUUUGAUUCGUAAAUUCAUAACAUUUAAAGUUGCUCCACGAAAAUAAUUAAAUUGUUGAAGAGAAGAAGAAUGAGAUUUUAUGAUUGGUGCAGACCGUGUGUAUAAAGAAAGUUAUCCAACAGCGAUUUAAUAGCCCAAUGAAUUAAAUAAAAUCCUUCGAAUGAUUUAGUGACUAUUUUCUAACUUUUUGAAGUUGAACGACUUAAAUGUAAAUUUAUUAAUACUUCAGUGACCUUGGGUGUAGUUUACCCUACUCAGGUAAUGUAACAACAAAUUACAUGGUUCAUGUAUGUGGGCCCCCAAUCCAGACUGUCGAGUCUUGAUCGCCACAUUACAAUUUGAUGACGGUGGGCCCCGAAAUAGCUUCUCAUCCAACGGCUAUUUCUGAUCCAAACACGUUCCUAACUUUUUCUUCUUUUCUUUUUAUAAUCAUCAUUUUUUCUGAUUCUCUCCCUCAUUUAUUUAUAUAUUUAUUGAGAGUCUGUCGUCUCGUUGUCAUUAGUUUCUGUUACUACUUCACUCUCCCUCUGUCUUCAAGAAAUGGAUCGUAGAAGUGCAUUUGCAGUUGCUUUGAUUUGCUUUGUGGUAACCGCUGUCGGUGGUCAAUCUCCGGCAGCCUCACCUACUAAAGCUCCGCCGGCCGCGGCUACUCCUGCUACUGCUCCCGCUACUGCCCCUGUUAGCAAAUCUAAAUCACCGGCUCCAACUGCUGCCCCUACCACUUCCCCACCAACUUCUUCACCACCGGCUGCGGCUCCGGAGAAGUCUGCGGCGGUUCCAGCCCCAUCUAAAUCUGCUCCGGCUUCUUCUCCUCCGGCUGCUGCUCCGGUGAGUUCUCCACCUGCUCCAGUACCUGUGAGCUCUCCUCCAGCCAAAUCGCCUCCCGUUGCUGCACCGACGACUCCACCAGAGAGCUCGGCCUCUCCUCCGGCUCCUGUUGCUGCACCAACUACUGCUGAGGUUCCGGCCCCAGCUCCAAGCAAGAGCAAGAGCAAAAGCAAGAAAUCCAAGAAACACCAUGCUCCGACUCCUUCACCUGAUAUGCUUGGACCUCCCGCUCCACCAACUGGAGCUCCUGGACCUAGCCUCGAUGCUUCCUCUCCCGGUCCAUCUGUCGCUGCCGAUGAGGUACAUUCUUUUUCUUUACUAACGCUUCAGUAGCUUACAUCAUAUAACAAUGCGCUUUCAG